GACGAACGCUGGCGGCGUGCCUAAUACAUGCAAGUCGAGCGGACAGAAGGGAGCUUGCUCCCGGAAGUUAGCGGCGGACGGGUGAGUAACACGUGGGCAACCUACCCUGUCGAUCGGGAUAACAUCGAGAAACCGGUGCUAAUACCGGAUAAUCAUUUGAAGUGCAUGCUUCGAAUGUAAAAGAUGGCUCCGGCUAUCACUACGGGAUGGGCCCGCGGCGCAUUAGCUAGUUGGUAAGGUAAUGGCUUACCAAGGCAACGAUGCGUAGCCGACCUGAGAGGGUGAUCGGCCACACUGGGACUGAGACACGGCCCAGACUCCUACGGGAGGCAGCAGUAGGGAAUCUUCCGCAAUGGACGAAAGUCUGACGGAGCAACGCCGCGUGAGUGAUGAAGGUUUUCGGAUCGUAAAGCUCUGUUGUUAGGGAAGAACAAGUGCCGUUUGAAUAAGGCGGCACCUUGACGGUACCUAACCAGAAAGCCACGGCUAACUACGUGCCAGCCGCCGCGGUAAUAC
rnacentral:rRNA from 1 species